rnacentral:rRNA from 1 species
UACGGAGGGUGCAAGCGUUAUCCGGAUUCACUGGGUUUAAAGGGUGCGUAGGUGGGCAGGUAAGUCAGUGGUGAAAUCUCCGAGCUUAACUCGGAAACUGCCGUUGAUACUAUUUGUCUUGAAUAUUGUGGAGGUAAGCGGAAUAUGUCAUGUAGCGGUGAAAUGCUUAGAUAUGACUAGAACACCAAUUGCGAAGGCAGCUUACUACACAACGAUUGACGCUGAGGCACGAAAGCGUGGGGAUCAAACAGG